AAGGACAUGAAUCUAUUGCAAUCAAGCUUGUGGCAAAUUUGAUAACAACACAGUAUUGUUCAGAUCGUGUCCUUGCUUGUCAUCUUUAACCCGGACAGUCUAUGGGAUACUUUGACAUUUCAUUCGAUCAUGUUUAUGGCCAGCCUCUGAUACUUGAUUACCUAGCAAGUAAGGCCAUAUCCUCUGAUGAAUUGGUGGUAGUUUCAUCUUGUGUUGGUGGCGUUGCAAGGGCUCCUGCCCUAAUCUUUCACCAUGCUUCAGAGCUGGCUUGUGUACCCCUAGGCCAGUUGCAUUAAAGCUUGCUGCUGAUAUGCCUCCUCUACUUACUGAGCAGCGUGUCCUUGAUGCCCUUUCCCCUUCUGUUCAUGGCGGAACCUGUGCCAUUCCUGGUGCUUCUGGCUGUGGGAAAAUUGUGAUCAGUCAGGCACUUUCCAAGGCUGUUGCGGGUUGAAGGAAUCAUGCCAGCUAAUGCAAUGUUUCUCUAGCGAGAUCCCGUACAAGUUCGACGGCCUAAACUCCUUUAGUUUCCAUCUGCUUACAGGAGACACCAUUCCCGCAAGUUUGUAAGAACACCACACCAUUUGUACUUCUGGCAUUGCUAAUCCUGCCUUAGCUCAGAUUAAACGUUUUGCUGAUGGUGACAUCUAUGUUCAGCUGCAAGAGAGUGUAAGACUCAAGGACAUGAAUCUAUUGCAGCCAAGCUUGUGGCAGAUUUGACUUAGCAGGUGAGUUAGAAGUCUGUAAUGGUGGACGACAUGAUUGACACAGUAGGGAACCCGGAGCAUCUCCAUCUUCAGCUUCAGUUUCCUCUACAACGUCAAGGUAUAGAAGAAGUCCAUCACAUAAGACUCCAGCUCCAAGAGGUGGUGGCGUUGCAAUGGCAAAGAACACUAAAAUGCUGCUACAAGUCCAAAACCUGUGAAAUAAUCUGGAAAUCUCCACGGUCAUAAACACAAACAAUGGUGAUGUAGCUGGACUUGAUGGAGCUAAACAAGCUUUACUGGAGAUGGUUAUAUUACCACCGGUAAAACGAAGAGAUUGGGAGACCAGUGAGAGGUCUGCUUCUCUUUAGGGCCACCUGGAAAUGCAAAAACAAUGCUUGCCAAGGCAGUAGCUUUUGACUCACAUGCCACGUUUUUCAAUGUCUCAGCAUCUUCUUUGACUUCAAAAUGGGUGGGUGAGGCUGAAAUGCUAGUUAAAACGCUGUUUCAAAUUGCAAUAUCCAGGCAACCUUCUGUGAUAUUUACGGAUCACAGAGAGAGUAUAAUGUCAACAAGGUCGAUCAGUUAGAAGGAAGCAAGCAGAAGGUUGAAUCAGAAUUCCUUAUCCAGUUUGAUGGCGUGACUUCUAAUCAUGAUGAUUUGGUUAUUGUCAUUGAUAUGAUUCCAACUAAUUUAGUCUUUAUCGAACCAAAUGUUCACUCUGAGUAUCAGUUGGGCUUAUAUAUUCUGUUUUUCCUUGCCCUAAUCAUUUACUUGGAUGUAAUGUUUAUUUAACAAGCCACUGGAGUUGUUGGAUGAUGCAGUGCUUAGGAGUUUGGUGAAGAGAAUGUAUAUAACAUUGCCGGAUUCGAACGCGAGAAAUUUUACUUUCUAAAACUAAACUGAAGAGGCAGCCUCACUCUUUAUCCUGUAGCGACAUUGAUAAAAUCGUCAGAGAAAC